AUGGAGGCAACCACCCAGGAGCGCCCCGCGCCGCCGCCGCCGUCGCCGUCGUCGGUGCAGAUGCAGCUGCCGCAUGCGGCCGCCGACCCGUCCAACCCUUUCCCGACCACCUUCGUGCAGGCCGACACCACCUCUUUCAAGCAGGUCGUGCAGAUCCUCACCGGCACCCCGGAGACCGCGGCCGCGGCGGCGGCGGGGGGCGCGGCGGGCGCGCCGGCGGCUAAGCCGGCGCCCACGGCGACCGGGCCCAAGAAGCCGGCCUUCAAGCUCUACGAGCGGCGGGGCAGCAUGAAGAGCCUGAAGAUGCUCUGCCCGCUCCUCCCCGCCGCCUUCGCCGCCGGCGGCUCCGGUGGCUGCAGCGGGUUCUCCCCGCGGGGGUUCUCGCCGCGCGGGCUGGAGGUGCUGUCGCCGAGCAUGCUGGACUUCCCGUCGCUGGCGCUGGGGAGCCCCGUGACGCCGCUCCCGCCGCUGCCGGGGUCGCGGGAGGCCGCCGCGGCCGAAGACCGCGCCAUCGCCGAGAAGGGGUUCUACCUCCACCCGUCCCCGCGCGGCAAUGCCAGCGGCCGCGGCGACCUGACGCCGCCGCCCAGGCUGCUCCCGCUCUUCCCCUUGCAGUCGCCCACCCGGCAGUGA
rnacentral:rRNA from 1 species